GACGAACGCUGGCGGCGUGCUUAAUACAUGCAAGUCGAACGGAAAGGCCCUGCUUUUGUGGGGUGCUCGAGUGGCGAACGGGUGAGUAACACGUGAGUAACCUGCCCUUGACUUUGGGAUAACUUCAGGAAACUGGGGCUAAUACCGGAUAGGAGCUCCUGCUGCAUGGUGGGGGUUGGAAAGUUUCGGCGGUUGGGGAUGGACUCGCGGCUUAUCAGCUUGUUGGUGGGGUAGUGGCUUACCAAGGCUUUGACGGGUAGCCGGCCUGAGAGGGUGACCGGCCACAAUGGGACUGAGAUACGGCCCAGACUCCUACGGGAGGCAGCAGUGGGGAAUAUUGCACAAUGGGCGGAAGCCUGAUGCAGCAACGCCGCGUGCGGGAUGACGGCCUUCGGGUUGUAAACCGCUUUCGCCUGUGACGAAGCGUGAGUGACGGUAAUGGGUAAAGAAGCACCGGCUAACUACGUG
rnacentral:rRNA from 1 species